GUCCUGGCUCCACCCCUUCCCAGACCUCAUUUAAGGGUUGGCAGUGGAGAUAUGGGUGCCUUGCUGGUGAUCCCUGUGUUCUUGAGGUCUUCUAAAGGUUCCCUGGUGCAGGCAGCACUGACUCAGCCAGCCACUGCAUCAGCAAACCUGGGAGAAACCGUCACGAUCACCUGCUCUGGGGGUAGCAACAACUAUUAUGGCUGGUACCAGCAGAAGUCACCUGGCAGUGCCCUUGUCACUGUGAUCUAUACCAACACCAACAGACCCUCCAACAUCCCUUCACGAUUCUCCAGUUCCCUCUCCAGCUCCACGCACACAUUAACCAUCAGUGGGAUCUACGCUGAAGACAAGGCUGUCUAUUACUGUGGUGGCUGGGACAGCAGCAGCAGUGCUGGUGUAACGACACGGGGAGAUGUGGGGGCACAGCACUGUGUUGUUCCCAUCCUCAAUGCCUCCUACCACAGGUGCCAGCCACUCCAGCUGCCACCCCUGGAGCAGGUGAUCUUGACAGCUUCUCCCAGGUUUGCUGGCACCGAGGCUGGCUGA